UUUUUUUUUUUUUUUUCUUUUGGGUGUUGGCUUUUAACUCUUUCAAAGCCGAUUUUGAAAUCGGCUGCAGUGUUAGAGAUGCGAAGUGCUUCUGGUGUCUCAAAAAUUACGGAGACAAGUUUACUGUGUCGUCAAGGCUGUUAAAUGGAAAUAGAUUUUAAUUAUGGUGCUAAGACGAUGACGUUUAACGUAGUUUAUUUUACUGAGUAUUUACGGCAAAAUUAUUUGACAUUCUGGUGUUUGAAUAAUGAUUAAAUGCACUGUUUGGUACUUUUUAAAAGGUCAUAGGAGCCGUUAUCUGUAACUUAUCACCUGAAUGUUAGAACGUACUUGGGUCAGUUCCUAGACUUUUAAAAGUUUAAAUACAUUUUAUUAUUAAAAAAAUGUAUAUUAUCACAAGCCAUGGCCGACAAAACUUUUACAAAAGGAUAUUUUGACAACAAAUUUCUUUGUGAAGUUACUUUCUCCUAGUGUAAAUAUUAAAGUAGGACUGCUCGGUAAUGGGCGAUGAAGAGGAGCCAUAUUUGUUGCAUUUGUUGCAUGCAUAAAAAUCUAGAUAUGCUUAAAACGGAACAGUAUUUUAAUGUUGUAUUUUGGUUUUUAAAAAUUUUACAGAGUGCUCUAUGUAAUCUAUUAAUCUAAAAAAUUGAGAGGGAAUUUAAAUUUAGUGUUUGAACACAGGCCACAAAUGCAUAAACCUUUGUGUAUUUUAGAAUAUAUUUGUCUUUAUUCUGCGGUAGCUCUUGUUUUGUAGAGGUGCAGAUCUACGUAAAAAUUGUGUUGGGCAGAUUUUCGUAGUAUUUAUAAAAUUGAAGCUACUGGUGUAAUGGACUAGGUUUCUGAGGGUAUUUUUGUCAGUGAAAUUGUUUUAUUUUCGAAUAGCAUUCAUAUAGUGUUACAUGUUAAAUCAGUUGCGCAUAUCUUGAUUUUACAGGCUCUGUUGUUUUAAGUAAUAAUUUGUGGUUUUGCAAGUCAACAUUUUUGAAAUUUUUAAAUGCUUCAAGUAGUUUUAAAUUAAUAUUCUGAAUCUAGUUUUUCAGAAUCCUCUUGAAUAGCAAAAUGCAAAAUAAUUACUGGCAGUUUAACCUCAUAAAUUUUUUUUUACGUGAGAAAAGGGGGAAGGGAGAGACUGAAUGUGGUCUAGACCCUAGUUUGAAAUUGAAUAAAGGUCAUAGAUACUACAUGUUUUAGAUUUGCGUUAAAGACAAAGCUAAUAUCUCACUUGGUGAGAUCAAAUAACUGUGGUUUAAAAAUUUAAAGUAACCAGUGGCCAUUUUAACUUCACUAAAUUCUCCUGGAGGAGUUAAUUUUUAAUCACUCAUAAUUGUAAAAUGUAUUUCUAGAUGGUAAAGGAAAUUUUAGGAUGAUUAAGAUGAUUUCAGUCUUUAAAAAUGGUAAACUUUUCCUUUGUUUUUGAGCAUUGCUUGUCAUCAAAAGAAAAAUAAAAAUGAAAACAAGGUCAUAAUCUUAAAUCUGUCCAAAGAUAGGAAUUUUUUUCUCUUUUUAAUCUUAGUACCUUAAUCUCUAGUGAUUGUCCAUGCAACCAAAAGAUGGGGAAAACAGAGACUGAUAGAUACAAAGAUAAGAAAUAACUGCUAUCUUAAAUGUACAGGUAGUGUGUUAAUGAGCUAUCUCUUGAAUUUGUCCAUUGAUCGUGUCUCAGAAAUAUUUUCUCAUUGUUUCAUCACACUGAAACUUUGGCCAAGAAAUGUUUAAAAUUCAAAGCAUUGAUAUCAAUUUCCCCCCCCUUUUUUUUUAAAAGGCAACUUACAAGAUUAAAAUUAAAUUUGGUUGAUGAUGGUUCUGGACAAAUACAGCUCUUUUAUUUGAGGUAUGCCAUUUUGAAGACAGACCCGUGGAAUUUUAUCCUUGAGGAUAGGGGAAAUCUUUGUGAAAGUCUGUAUUUUAUAAAGCAACAAUAUGAAUCCUGAGGCUGAAUUGUCUAAGGGGCCUGUACAGCGAAAUAGAUGUAAGUUUUACUCAAUUUACAUGUUUAAUUUGUUUUUUACUUUUACAUGUGACUUUGGAAAUUCUGAGUAAUUGAGUCAGAGUCUCUAAAAAUGUAGAAGAAUUUAGUGAAGUUCCAAGCAGUACAGAUAUAAAUCAACAUAGAUGUAUGUGGCUUAUUAUUAAAAUUUUGGUUAUUAUUCCAACCUCUUUUCCUUUCUUUACUUAAAGAGAGGUAUAAAUGGAUGGAAGGAAACUCACAUUUGAACAUUCUUCUAAUACUGCACCCUAGCUGUUGGUAAGCUCCCCAUUUUUAUAAAUAAAGUUUUAUUGGAACACAGCUAAGCUCUUUCAUUUACGUAUUAGCUGUGUCUGCUUUCUGACUACAGCUGCAGAGAGUAGAUUUAGCUAAUGGCCACAAACCCUAACAUAUUUAGUUAUUUAGUAUUUUAACCUGUAAGGAAAUCUUGCCUAUCCUUUCCCUAGAUUCAUCCUUUUUGUCAACUUUAUGUAGAACUCAAAAGCACUUGGAUUCUCUUAAUAAUGGGGGUGUACCUUUUACUUUGUUAGUAUUUCAUUGUUAGAAUUCAAAUAACAUAAGUAAUCAUGAGCUUGGCUUAAACUCCAAAGCCCAACAAAGGUUCUUUCACACCAGCAUUAUGCUUUAAUAUUAGAAGAUUUGGGGAGUUCCCGGUGUGGCACAGUGGAAAUGAAUCAACUAGUAUAGUAUCCAUGAGGAUUUGGGUUCUAUCCCCGGCCUCACUCAGUGGAUUAAGGAUUUGGAGUUGCUGUGAGCUGUGGUGUAGGCCAGCAGCUGCAGCUCUGAUUCGACCCCUAGUCUAGGAACUUCCUUAUGACACAGGUAUGGCCCCAAAAAG
rnacentral:lncRNA from 1 species